UACGAAGGGGGCUAGCGUUGUUCGGAUUUACUGGGCGUAAAGCGCGUGUAGGCGGGUCGUUAAGUUGGGGGUGAAAGCCCGGAGCUCAACUCCGGAACUGCCUUCAAAACUGGCGACCUGGAGCAUGUCAGAGGCGAGUGGAAUUGCGAGUGUAGAGGUGAAAUUCGUAGAUAUUCGCAGGAACACCAGUGGCGAAGGCGACUCGCUGGGACAUUGCUGACGCUGAGACGCGAAAGCGUGGGGAGCAAACAGG
rnacentral:rRNA from 1 species